rnacentral:rRNA from 1 species
GCGAACGCUGGCGGCCGGCCUCACCCCUGCCAGUCGAACGAACCUUUCGGGGUUAGUGGCGGACGGGUGAGUCACACGUGGGAACGUGCCUUUAGGUUCGGAAUAACUCAGGGAAACUUGUGCUAAUACCGAAUGUGCCCUUCGGGGGAAAGAUUUAUCGCCUUUAGAGCGGCCCGCGUCUGAUUAGCUAGUUGGUUGAGGUAAUGGCUCACCAAGGCGACGAUCAGUAGCUGGUCUGAGAGGAUGAUCAGCCACAUUGGGACUGAGACACGGCCCAAACUCCUACGGGAGGCAGCAGUGGGGAAUCUUGCGCAAUGGGCGAAAGCCUGACGCAGCCAUGCCGCGUGAAUGAUGAAGGUCUUAGGAUUGUAAAAUUCUUUCACCGGGGACGAUAAUGACGGUACCCGGAGAAGAAGCCCCGGCUAACUUCGUG